AUGGCUGCACAAGACACUCCUAUGAUCACCGAGGAUGACUAUGAGACUCAGCAGAAGAAGCAAGCUGCUGCAGAUGUUCUUUUCAACUAUUCACAGUUUGUUAUGGUGUGCAUUGGUGAGGGAGUUCGCCCGACUGAUCUCCGGUUGCAUCUUAUGAAGGAAAUUUCAGGGAUGCCCACCUCUUUGAAGGAAGAGCCACGGCAGGCAGCUGCCUCCCCAAAUUCUAGCGGUGAACCAUCAUCCUCUGGGACGAUGAAAGAAGACAGGAGCGAAAUCCCAUAA
rnacentral:rRNA from 1 species